GUCCCGGUAGCUCAGUCGGUAGAGCACCUGUACGAGGUCAGCGGUCGCAGGAUCGAAGCCUGCCCGGGAUU